rnacentral:misc_RNA from 1 species
CAUUUUUGUUGCGUUUAUACUUUUAAAUAAAACUGCUGAUGACUUCGGAUUCCUUUUAUUGUAACGUGGACGCGACAUUUACUAUUAACGGUCUGACAGUUAAGUGUGGGAGAGGGACGGCGGACAGUUGACAAGACAUAGACUAUAUACAAUAUUUUUAUACUAUGUAACAUCUCCCUUUUUAAAGAAAACAAACUUAAGUACAUUUUUUUUUUUUUUUUUUUAACAUCUCCCUUUUUAAAGAAAACAAACUUAGGUAAGUACAUUUUUUUUUAAACAUCUCCCUUUUUAAAGAAAACAAACUUAAGUAAGUACAUUUUUUUUUUUUUUUUUUUUAACAAUUUUACAAACACAUUUAAGGCUACUUUAAUUUUCAAAAGUUGUCGUUUCCGAACGCUAUUACAUGACUUACACUAUUUUGUGACAUCUGUCAUAUGUCAUGUGACAAUUUUCCUGUCAAUGUCAAAUGAUCAAAAUGAAAUGUAAACAACUUCAGGACAUAUGAAAAAUACAAUUAAACAAAUUAACCUAUUUUAAACUACAUUAAUUAAAAUUACACUUACACACAAAUAUUUCACUAAAUACAAUAAACAACAAGUUUAUGUUACAAACCCAUACCUAUUGACUGGUUUAUAAACACGUCCAUAUCGAGAUCGUGCCUUUGAAUGCUGAUGUAUUUGUGGAUCUGAUACAGUGUUUCCAUUUUUAGAUACUGGCUGAGACUGUGUUGUGUGCUGAUAAGACUGUGUUGUGUGCUGUUCAGAGUUUGGUGUAUGCACCGACUGUUUCAGGAUAAACUGACGGUUUCUCCUGAACCUACCUUUUUCACUAUCAAUGAUAUAGCUUCUAGGUGUGGGACCUACUUGAGAAAUCACUCCGGGCAACCAAUUUUUAUCUUCAGGUUUGUGUUUGAAGAAGACUUUUUCACCUAUAGCUAAUGGUUUUAAUAUUUUUGUAUGUUUAUUGUAAUAAAAUUUAGAAUAAGACUUCUGUCUUUCAUUUCUUUCCUGUACCUUUUUAACAUCACAAAGCCUAGGUUUUAAAUUAUAUUUUACUGUAGGAAUGAUUGUACGUAGCUUUCUAGACAUACUUAACUCAGCAGGUGAGUAUUGACUUAGUUUAGGGGUAUUUCUGUAUAGUAAUAAUGCUAAAUACAUAUCUGACAUAUCUGUUUUACACUUUCUUAACAUGUUUUUAAUGGUUCCAAUAGACCUUUCAACUAGACCAUUGGACCUACUUAAAUAUGGACUUGUAGUUAUAUGUUCUAUAUCCCAUUCCUUAGUAAAUAAACUAAAUUCCUUACUAUUGUACGGAGGACCGUUGUCCGAGAUCAAAAUCCGGCAGAUACCAUGUCUUGCCAGUAUUGACUUUAUUUGUGUUAUCACUAUACUAGCUGUGUAACCUGACUUUAACAUGGCCAGCUCUAUAUAUUUUGAGUAAUAGUCUACGACAAUUAGGUAUUUUGUUCUUUCAAACUCAAAAAUAUCUACACCAACUUUGUACCAUGGUAUGUUUUCAUACUCAUGUUGGAUAAUAGGCUCUUUACUAUUAUUUCUACGAUAAGAUAGACAAAUAUUACAUUGACUUACAUACUUUUCUAUAUCAGUAUGCAUAUUUGGCCAGUAAACUGUAGUUUUAGCUAGACGAAUAGAUGCAUUCACUCCUUGAUGACCAGAAUGAAUUAUUUGUAAUAUAUAAUCUCUCAUUGACUCGGGUAUUAUAAUGCAAUUAGACUUGAAUACUAUAUUAUCAAUUACAUAUAAUUGAUCUUUUAGAUUAAAAUAACAUUUGACUGACUGACUGACUGAUCUUUUAUGCUCAGGCCACCCAUUUAAACAAUAUUGUAUAAUUUUACUCAAAGUUUGGUCUUUGACAGUAUGCUCUUGUAACUCUUUUAACUUUUCAGGACUGACUGUUAAAUUUGACAUUAUUAAAUUGAUAUGUAGAUCUAUGUCUUGAUCUACUUCUGACAAACAAGUUUCAUUCAACGCUGCUCGGGACAGUGUAUCUGCAAUGUAUAGGUACUUGCCUGGUUUAUAUACUACAUUUAAAUCAUAUGGCUGCAAUCUUAACAUAAUUCUUUGCAAUCUUGGAGGUAUAUCAUAUAAUGAUUUUUUGAAUAAUGUUAUAAGGGGUUUGUGGUCGGUUUCCACUGUUACCCACUGACCAUAUAUGUACUGAUGGUACUUGGUACAACCAAAAAGUACUGCAAGCAAUUCUUUUUCUAUUUGUGAGUAUGAUUGCUGACAUUUUGUUAGUGAUGCUGAUGCAUAUGCAAUUGGUUGCUUGUCAUGUGACAAAACUGCACCCAUAGCAUCUUUUGAUGAAUCUACAGACAAAAUUAGUUCUCUGUUUGGAUCAUAAUAUGUUAAGACUGGCGUAGAACUAAUUAUCUUUUUAAUGUUAUUAAAUUGGGCUUCAUGGUGAUCUGACCAACACCAUACAGUAUCUUUCGACAAAAGAGCUCUUAAAUGACUAAUUUCCUGUGACAAAUUUUUUAUAAACGGACCAAGAUAGUUGACCAUACCUAGAAAUCUUUGUAACUCUGUAAUAUUCUUUGGACUCUGCAUAUUGCAAAUAGCUUCUACUUUUGACUUAUCGACUUGUACUCCUGCCUUACUGAAUAUAUGACCUAAAUAUUUUACUUGUUCUUGACAAAAAACUGAUUUUUCUUUGUUAAAUCUUAAAUUAAUUUGACGUGCCCUUUGUAAAACUUUUUGUAACCGUUCAUUAUGCUCUUCUAUAGUCCUACCAUAAAUAAGAAAAUCAUCCAUCAUAAUUUUGACACCAUCAAUAUCACCAAAUCUUUUUACCAUUUCUCUGUGAAAUAUCUCUGGAGCUGCAUUGAUACCGAAAGGUAAUCUAGUGAACCUAUACCGUCCAAAGGGUGUAAUAAAUGUACAUAGCUUUGAAGAAGCUUCUGUUAAUUUUAACAUCCAAUACCCUUUAUUGGCAUCUAAUGUUGUGAAAUAUUGAGCUCCGGUAAGACUUGAUUUAAUUUCAUCUAGAGUUGGAAAUUGAAAAUGAGAUCUUAAUAUUGACUGAUUAAGUUUUCUAGGGUCAAUACACAAACGUAAUUUACCAUUCCUUUUUGAAGUUAAGACUAAUGCACUUACCCAUUCCGUGGGCUCUUCGACUCUUUGAAUAACUCCACUCUGCUCCAUGGCUUCCAGCUCUUGCUUUAGUGGUUGUUGUAGUUGGAAUGGUACCCUUCUACACGCCUCUAUAAACGGGGUUGCAUUGGGUUUCAAGGUUAACUCACAGUAAAAAUCUGUAAGACAACCUAGCCCUUCAAAUAAGUCUGCAUUUGACUCAACUAUGUCUUGACAGUUUAUCUGGAAGGACACACUAUUAACUUUUUUUACUAGAUUUAAUGACCUACAUGUGUCUCUGCCUAUUAUAUUUUGGCAUUUUAUGUCUACUAUAUGAAAUUUAACUGUAUAACAUUUAUUUUUGAAUGUAAUUGGCAACUGACAUUGACCUACUAGAGGUAUAACCUCUCCACUGAAUGUAGAUAGUUUAUUGGGACUUCUGCAAAUAGUAUCAUGCGACAUGUUUAGUGUGUUAAAUGUGUGUAUGGAUAUUACGUUUGUGUCUGCACCUGUAUCUAGGAUAAAAUUCACAUUAACAUGGUUAAUCAAUAUAUCAACAUUCCAUGGCUUUGACUCAUUAUUUUGAAUACAAUAAAUAUACCCGACAUACAAAGAAUUAUUAUUAUUAUUUUCUAACAUAUUUGUCUCUUCAAAUUGGACACGUUUAAUUAGUUUAGACCUACAGAAAUUAGCAAAAUGGUUGAAUUUUUUACAUUUUCGACACUGAGCACCUUUUGCAGGACACUUGUACCUGUGCACUUGUCCACACCUAUCACAUGUGUUCCUUGAUCUUGAUGUAUUUGAUGCUGAACGUCGGUACCUUGUUGUGCUCCUUGGUAUUGCUGCUUCACGACGGGAUGGGGAUCUCGAGACUCUUCCUAUAAAGUGUAGUGAUGCAUCCUCCAAUGCUUUAGUUUGCUGCUUGGUUGCUUCACACCUUUUGGCUAUAUUGACAGCAUCAUCUAGCGUCUUGGGUUUCUCUAUCAAAAUUCUUUCUUUAUAGUAUGGAUUGUUACAGUUCCAGCUGAAAAUAUCUUUUAAUAAAUCCUCCCUGAGUGCUCCAAACUCACAAGAGUGACUGAUGUUCUUUAUAUCUGUGACAUAUGCGUCGAUUGACUCAUUUGGUGCCUGUUUCCUACUAAAAAGUUUGUGACGCUCGACUGUAAUGUUAAUCUUAGGUGUGAAAUAAUUGUCAAAUUUAUUGCAUAGCUCAUCGAAAGACAAGUUGUCCAGGUCUAGGUCAAAAGAAUAAUAGAUCUCGAGUGCAUCCGACCCUAUGAAAUUAAGGAGAAUCGCUACCUUUCUACCGUCUGAUUCAUUGUCUAAAUUGUUGGCUCUUAGGUAGACUUUUAGCUUAGUAAGCCACUUCCUCCAAGCUAAAGGUAAGUUAUUGGAUGUUAAGUCGAUCGGCGCAAAUGUACUUGUUAUCGGCAACAUGUCUGACUUACUUGUUUUAAUUCGCGGCUGCGUGUUGACAAAUUUUCCUGUUUUCGACAUAUUCUAUUCUCACAGCACUUCUGACACCAUGUUGCGUUUAUACUUUUAAAUAAAACUGCUGAUGACUUCGGAUUCCUUUUAUUGUAACGUGGACGCGACAUUUACUAUUAACGGUCUGACAGUUAAGUGUGGGAGAGGGACGGCGGACAGUUGACAAGACAUAGACUAUAUACAAUAUUUUUAUACUAUGUAAC